UUAUCUGAAGUAAUAAGAAAAUUAUCACAUUUUGUUUAAAUAUAUUUAUUUAUUAAAUACAUUUUUUAAUUCUUUAAAAUAUAAAUAUUUAUAUAUAUUUUGAUAGCAAUAUUCAAACAUUUGUUUAAGAAACAAUUUGGCUAGUGUAAAAGAGGGAAAUGUUGACUUUUAAGGUUUUAAGAUGUUUUUUAAUUAUCACAGGAUGUUAUAUAAUUUUUUUAGAAUAUGUUCUGAAAUAAAUUAAAUAUACAAUCAUAAAAUGCUACUCAAGUGCAAUAUAAAAAUGAAAAUGUAGUUUUGAUACUAAAUAUUGCAAAAACUGAAUCUUUCAUUAAUCAUAAGUGUUUUGUGUUUUUUACUUGCUAUAAGUUGGUUUGUGUUGGUUUAUGAUUAACAACAGAAAAUACAUUACUUCAACAAAUGUUAGUUUUUUACACAUUAGUUAUAUAAUCUCCUAUGAAAUGGUUUAUCUAAAUCUAAUUCCCUGCAGGAUGCCUGUUAAAAAGAAAAACUGAAGAAAUUUUUAAAACUAGAUGAUGCCAACUAAAGAAGUUGAAACACAGUUAUUCAUGGUGUCAUAUCAAGUCUUCAGUUCUCCAGUAUUUAUUUUUAUAUUUUAUUAUAUGUUAUGUUGAUUUUAUUUUUUAUUUUUGUUAUUUUUAUAACAACAAACUAUGUGAAUAUUUAAUUGUCCUGCCCUACCUCAGUCUGACUAUUAUUAUAACACGUAUAUGGAUUUAUAUAUUGUAUUGAGUUAGCUUGUGAUUUGUACAUGUGAUUUUGUUUGCCUAGUGUUUGUUAGUUAUAUGCAAGAUAUGGCAUGGUAUGGCACACUGCAUGGUAUGCCCUAAAUAAUAUUAUCAAUAAAUAUUUUUAUCUAUA